CCCCUCUCAGAGUCGCAUCUGGAGAGUUUCCAGUCCUCUACCAGUCUCGGCUAUGGGAGGGAGACUCGAGCAGAGGCCGGUCCAUUCCAUUCCAAGCUUGGGCAGUGGCUAGCGAGUGGAAAGCCAUCUGCUACAGGU